rnacentral:rRNA from 1 species
CCUACGGGCGGCAGCAGUGGGGAAUAUUGGACAAUGGGGGGAACCCUGAUCCAGCGACGCCGCGUGAGUGAAGAAGUAUUUCGGUAUGUAAAGCUCUAUCAGCAGGGAAGAAAGGAAUGACGGUACCUGACUAAGAAGCCCCGGCUAACUACGUGCCAGCAGCCGCGGUAAUACGUAGGGGGCAAGCGUUAUCCGGCUUUACUGGGGGUAAAGGGGGCGUAGGCGGUUACGCAAGUCUGGAGUGAAAGGCGGGGGCCCAACCCCAGGACUGCUUUGGAAACUGUAUAACUGGAGUGCAGGAGAGGUAAGUGGAAUUCUUGGUGUAGGGGUGAAAUGCGUAGAUAUUAGGAGGAACACCAGUGGCGAAGGCGGCUUACUGGACUGUAACUGACGUUGAGGCUCGAAAGCGUGGGGAGCAAACAGGAUUAGAUACCCGAGUAGUC